AUUGAACGCUGGCGGCAGGCCUAACACAUGCAAGUCGAGCGGAUGAAGAGAGCUUGCUCUCUGAUUUAGCGGCGGACGGGUGAGUAAUGCCUAGGAAUCUGCCUGGUAGUGGGGGAUAACGUCCGGAAACGGGCGCUAAUACCGCAUACGUCCUACGGGAGAAAGCAGGGGACCUUCGGGCCUUGCGCUAUCAGAUGAGCCUAGGUCGGAUUAGCUAGUUGGUGAGGUAAUGGCUCACCAAGGCUACGAUCCGUAACUGGUCUGAGAGGAUGAUCAAUCACACUGGAACUGAGACACGGUCCAGACUCCUGCGGGAGGCAGCAGUGGGGAAUAUUGGACAAUGGGCGAAAGCCUGAUCCAGCCAUGCCGCGUGUGUGAAGAAGGUCUUCGGAUUGUAAAGCACUUUAAGUUGGGAGGAAGGGCAGUAAGUUAAUACCUUGCUGUUUUGACGUUACCGACAGAAUAAGCACCGGCUAACUUCGUGCCAGCAGCCGCGGUAAGAC
rnacentral:rRNA from 1 species